GGCUGAUUCGAUGGUAGUGGGUUAUCAGAACUUAUUAACAUUAGUGUCACUUAAGUUGGUAUACAACCCCCCACUGCUAAAUUUGGCUUAAA
rnacentral:Y_RNA from 1 species